rnacentral:snoRNA from 1 species
CCCCUUUUAAAAGUACUCAGUGGGCCUUUUGCUAAUGACUCAUUGAGCCGUCAAGAAAGGGCAGAUUGAAAGCACCGCUUUUGGGUGAAGUGGCAGCAUUUUGUGUUGUUUGCCUCAAUCGGUCAUGUGACAAGG